GUAUACUUCCAGUUAUAUGCUAGUGAAGGGAAAAAAGCAGGGGGCCCAGAACAGAUCUAUGUGGAACCCCAAGCUUCAUAUCACUAAGAUUAGAAGUAGUGUGAUUGUACAAAACACAAUGAGAACAACUGGACAAGUAUGAC